UAGCCCCUGUGCCUCGUCAUUGGUCAAUGGUCUGGAGAAGCAAUCAAACGUGACUGCCCAACACGGUUGAAAAUGAUUACUGGUCCGUGAUUGGUCAAGAAAUCAAUCAGUUGUCUAGACUGGGCAAAUCGUAGACGAGCCCCUGUGUAUAUAUGUCUGGAGCACCUGUACCUCGUCAUUAGUCUGCCAGCUGUCUGCGGAGACGGACUCACCUCACCUAAGACAACAGAAACGUCUGGACACCACGGGAGGAAAGAAGUUGGUGCUUGUCACUGAAGGUGCUUCGGGACAACAUCCAGUGCAUCACCAAGCCAAGGGCGCAUGCAGUCUUUCCGAGACAUUCGACAAGGAUCUUACUGGUGCCAUCAAGCCCGGAUCAACUACAGCUGCAAUGUUCAAGUUAAGUGCUUAACAUUGUCUUAUGGGGUUUGAAAUUGUAAUGGUUGCAGAUAUGGACUCCUUUUGCACUCAGGGCUUCGGUCCGUUUCCAUGGUGUACAGGCCUGGUGUGUGGCUGGUUUGGUUUCUGUGACUGUGUCGAUAGUCUAGAUGGAUUCGGCCAGUAACUGCAAAUUCUGUUCUUUACAAAACAGGGUUUUCCCUGGUUCACCAUCUGUUGUCAUUUCUGUUUUAUGUCAUGGUCGGUGGUUGUCGGGGACCUAGACCAUUACAUAAUCUGCCUCGUGUCGUUAUCUUGGGUCCCGAACCAAGAGGACGACACAGGCCAGAAAGGAACGCAUGUGGUUGAACAUUAUUAUUAGUAUUAGAAUUAAUAUCAGUUUCUUCCUUUAGAAAUACUUGACCAUCUCGGCUGUUGGACACAGUCACAGAAACCGAAUCAGCCAUUCAUUGGGCUUGUACACCACAGAAACAGACUGAAGCAAUGAGUGCAGAAGUAGCC